GACGAACGCUGGCGGCGUGCCUAAUACAUGCAAGUAGAACGCUGAAGGAGGAGCUUGCUCUUCUGGAUGAGUUGCGAACGGGUGAGUAACGCGUAGGUAACCUGCCUGGUAGCGGGGGAUAACUAUUGGAAACGAUAGCUAAUACCGCAUAACAGUAGAUGUUGCAUGACAUUUGCUUAAAAGGUGCAAUUGCACCACUACCAGAUGGACCUGCGUUGUAUUAGCUAGUUGGUGGGGUAACGGCUCACCAAGGCGACGAUACAUAGCCGACCUGAGAGGGUGAUCGGCCACACUGGGACUGAGACACGGCCCAGACUCCUACGGGAGGCAGCAGUAGGGAAUCUUCGGCAAUGGACGGAAGUCUGACCGAGCAACGCCGCGUGAGUGAAGAAGGUUUUCAGAUCGUAAAGCUCUGUUGUAAGAGAAGAACGAGUGUGAGAGUGGAAAGUUCACACUGUGACGGUAUCUUACCAGAAAGGGACGGCUAACUACGUG
rnacentral:rRNA from 1 species